rnacentral:lncRNA from 1 species
AUGCCUUUUUUUUUGUUUUUGUUUUUUUGCACAGCUGCUGAACCUUCCCAGGAGAUCCAGGUUACUGUCACUCUGACAGAGGGUUCCGAGCCUCCUCCGUGCACAUCCACUUUAGUGGGUGUACCCUCCCUCUCCUUUCAGGCCUCUUCCACUACUGAAGACCAUAACCAGGAGCACAGUCUCAUUGGUGCUUUGGAAAUGGGGAAGGAAACGGAGGAUAAGAUGCCUGAUACAACAGAGGAUGAACCUGAAGCAGAGGCUUCAAAAGCUCUUCCUGCUUUGCCAACCAAAGAAACUUCCCCCAAACACUCUCGAGCACAAGAGGAAGAACCAAUGGAUGUCUGUCCCUCAGACCCCUCCAGCAUAAAGGAUGAAAGUACAACAGAUGUCCCAGAAUCCCAGAGUGUUGUUGUGGAAAUUGAGCAGGGACAGGAGCAAGACAAACAAGAGCACGAAGAGGAGAAGGUGGCAGAUCCUGAAGUCACUUGUAUUUUGCCUGAGCCUGAUAGUGUCCCACUGAUUGCAGAGUGCAGUCCUACUGUGGAAAUGGACACUACACCUGUCAGCGACCACAGUUUCUCAAGUUUCAGCUCUCCCGUUGAGGGUAAGAGCCUCGUCUUGAAGCAUUCCCCAGGACUGUCCCCCGAGGGCUCAACCAAGUUGACCCAGUCCCCAUUUUCCACUGAAGCCUCACCGAGGGAGACGUCUCAAAGCCAGACGCCUACCCAUGGCCUGAAUCUGGCUGGAUACAGCCCCAGUGUUUCCAACACCAACUUCUUCCCCCAUACGCCCAAGAUAGGUAUGGGAAAGCCAGCCAUCUCAAAAAGGAAGUUCUCUCCAGGAAGGCCAAGGGUAAAGCAGGUAAAACUCCAGUUUUUUGGCCUUUCUUUCUUGCUGCUUGGCUCCUGGUUUUCCUUCGGUCUCUUUAGGACACCGAUUCUAUCUGUGAUCCACAGUUUUCAGCCACACAGUAAUUACUCCUUUGCUCUCCAUGUUCCUUCGUCACAUUGA